rnacentral:rRNA from 1 species
UUUGAUCAUGCUCAGAUUGAACGCUGGCGGCAGGCUUAACACAUGCAAGUCGAGCGGUAACAGGGGGUGCUUGCACCCCGCUGACGAGCGGCGGACGGGUGAGUAAUGCAUAGGAAACUGCCCAGUAGUGGGGGAUAGCCCGGGGAAACCCGGAUUAAUACCGCGUACGCCUUCGGGGGAAAGCAGGGGAUCUUCGGACCUUGCGCUAUUGGAUGUGCCUAUGUCGGAUUAGCUAGUUGGUGGGGUAAAGGCCUACCAAGGCGACGAUCCGUAGCUGGUCUGAGAGGAUGAUCAGCCACAUCGGGACUGAGACACGGCCCGAACUCUACGGGAGGCAGCAGUGGGGAAUAUUGGACAAUGGGGGCAACCCUGAUCCAGCCAUGCCGCGUGUGUGAAGAAGGCUUUCGGGUUGUAAAGCACUUUCAGUGAGGAGGAAAACUCUGCGACUAAUACUCGUAGGGCUUGACGUUACUCACAGAAGAAGCACCGGCUAACUCCGUGCCAGCAGCCGCGGUAAUACGGAGGGUGCAAGCGUUAAUCGGAAUUACUGGGCGUAAAGCGCGCGUAGGUGGUUUGAUAAGCGAGAUGUGAAAGCCCCGGGCUUAACCUGGGAACGGCAUUUCGAACUGUCAGGCUAGAGUAUGGUAGAGGUAGUGGAAUUUCCUGUGUAGC